CUUAGCUCAGUUGGUAGAGCUACUGAUUUGUAAUCAGUAGGUCGACGGUUCGAGUCCGUCAGG
rnacentral:tRNA from 1 species